AUGCAAUUUUCAGCCUCAAAGCUCAAAAUUAAUGCCAAAUCAUUAAUAGGCUACACAAACCAGAAGCAAAAAAAGAAAAAAAACAGGCUAUAAUAAUAAUAAUAAUAAUAAUAGGCUAAUAGGCCUAACAACAACACAAUGAAAGUAAUGGUUAUAAAAAAAAAUAAAAUAAAAAAACGACUAAUAAAAUAAAAUAUCAAUGACUGUGUAGGCUACAGAUAGGAUACAGAUAGGCAGAACGAACAAACGACGAGAUGGAUAAACAUGCUUAGAUAGAGGCCUACAGACAACUGUUGAGUAGCACUUAAUUUGCCGCAAAUUAAGCAUGUCUUCCCUCAGUAACAGUUGCAUUUCUCCUAUUUCCGCUAUGCUAGGAAAAUGUUUAUUGAGGUUUGAGAGCGCAUACACGCCAUACAACAUACACGCGUUGCGUUUCUUCAACACCGUCCGGUGACUUACCCACAGACGGAGAUUUGUGCCUGUCCUGUCGGCGUCUUCAGUCGCAGGUCUCCACCAAAUGCCUCAUCUACACUCCCUCAGACCUUGGAAGAGAUGAGAGUGAACCUGGAGGGGCAGAGGAGCUAAGAGAGAAAGAAUAAUGGAGAGACAAAGCGUGAACUGAGCAAGACAGCGGAGGAGAAGAUGCAAUGAAAUCUGCCAGAAAUACCAACAGACUGAAGAUCGAUGCUGCUCAAGUCACCACUAUGGGUCUGAUUCUAUGGGUCUGCAAGCAAGACUCAAACGCUGCUCUCGCGAGGUGUUUAAUAGGAGGGACAGCGCGUGAAUCACUCAGCGUCUCCAGCUAAUUACUUGCGCCUUCAAGUUAAUUAACUGCGAGCAAGGAGCAGCAGGGAGGGAGGACUAAUUAAGCAGUGCUUAAAAAUCACAGGAUGAAACAGCAUUAUUCUGACCCGACUGAAAUUGUUUUGUCAUAGACAAGGCGCUGAGAAUCGUAGAAAUUCAGUGGCGACUCAGACAAUAUUUGUGGUAGUCACCAGAUAUGGGAUGCUGUUGGACAAAACAAAUAAAUUUGACAGUUAAAUGUGUUUUGUGAAAAAUGUAAUUGCACUUUUUGCAGCAGUUUAACAAUUUGGCACCACGAAAAAAAAACAGACACAUCCUUGACAAUGUUAGCGUAAUGUUCAAAACAUGAUUUGUUGGCUUAGAAGAAUCUAUAAAACGUAAAUAAAUAAAUAAAUAAAAAUGUCUUUGGCUUGACAGUUGUCCAGUAUAAUCCAGUGUGUGUUUGUUUGUAUGAGAGAGCUUGACACAUGGAAAGGUUUUACUAUUUUCAACUCACAGGUAAAUACCAGUAUCCCACUUUUUUUUUCUUUUUUUCCAAUGCUGACUCUCUAUUCUGAUGAAUGACAAAGAACUUUCUGUCUGUCUGUCUGUUUGUUUGCUGUGACAGCACUCUGACACACGCUAUGUUUUGUUCUCUUUAUUGGAGAGCAGGCUCUGCUUCUAAUGCCUGCUGGAAACCUGUAUAGAACUGCCUGCCUAAUCCAUUCUGUAGGAG